GAUUAAGUUGUUAAGGGCGCACGGUGGAUGCCUUGGCACUAGGAGCCGAUGAAAAGGGACGGGGACUAACACCGAUAUGCUUCGGGGAGCUGUAAGCAAGCUUAGAUCCGAAGAUUUCCGAAUGGGGGAACCCCCUACCUUUAAUGGGGUAGGAUCCAAUUCUGAUUCUGAAUACAUAGGAAUUGGAACCCGGGGAACUGAAACAUCUCAGUACCCGGAGGAAGAGAAAGAGAAAGAAAAAUCGAUUCCCUAA
rnacentral:ncRNA from 1 species